rnacentral:rRNA from 1 species
UACGAAGGGGGCUAGCGUUGCUCGGAAUCACUGGGCGUAAAGGGUGCGUAGGCGGGUCUUUAAGUCCGGGGUGAAAUCCUAGAGCUCAACUCCAGAACUGCCUUUGAUACUGAGGAUCUUGAGUUCGGGAGAGGUGAGUGGAACUGCGGGUGUAGAGGUGAAAUUCGUAGAUAUUGGGAAGAACACCGGUGGCGAAGGCGGCUCACUGGCUCAUUACUGACGCUCAGGCGCGACAGCGUGGGGAUCAAACAGG